AUUGAACGCUGGCGGCAGGCCUAACACAUGCAAGUCGAGCGGAUGAAGGGAGCUUGCUCCUGGAUUUAGCGGCGGACGGGUGAGUAAUGCCUAGGAAUCUGCCUGGUAGUGGGGGAUAACGUCCGGAAACGGGCGCUAAUACCGCAUACGUCCUGAGGGAGAAAGUGGGGGAUCUUCGGACCUCACGCUAUCAGAUGAGCCUAGGUCGGAUUAGCUAGUUGGUGGGGUAAAGGCCUACCAAGGCGACGAUCCGUAACUGGUCUGAGAGGAUGAUCAGUCACACUGGAACUGAGACACGGUCCAGACUCCUACGGGAGGCAGCAGUGGGGAAUAUUGGACAAUGGGCGAAAGCCUGAUCCAGCCAUGCCGCGUGUGUGAAGAAGGUCUUCGGAUUGCAAAGCACUUUAAGUUGGGAGGAAGGGCAGUAAGUUAAUACCUUGCUGUUUUGACGUUACCAACAGAAUAAGCACCGGCUAACUUCGUG
rnacentral:rRNA from 1 species